GCUGCGUCACGGCCCGCCCGGACUGCGCCGGGGGACAGGUUUGAGUGUGGCACCGAGGCACCCGCGCUGUGCCGGGGGACAGAAUUGUGUUGUCAAGUGAAUUGCUGGCAGGAGGCAGACGUGCCUGGCUGGAAGAUUUUCAUGUGGCUGGUGAAUCAGCUCGAAAAUGUAAAAAGAGGUUUUGCUAAUCCACUUAUUGUGCCUUAUGGUGUUCAGCGUGGAAGCUGCAGGGCAGGGACAUUCCUCAGGGCUGGAAUGGCUACUGGAGCACCGGGGGCUGCUCUCACAUGCAGCUCAUUCAAGGAGGUCGUCGUGUUACACCAGUCACGGAACUGCAAUGACAGCUUUUGAUCUAAGCCCUGUCAAAUUCCAGUGAAAUAUGUCUUAGGGGUUGGAUGUGUCCACCUGGCCCAGACUCCUCAUUCUGGGGCUGUUUCAGAACCUGCAGAGAUGCUAUUCUUUUUUGCCAGCUUUUCCUGCCAAUAUAGAGAUGACUCAGAGGCAAAUCCUGAGGACCUUUCUCAGAAAUUUCUGAUUUUCUGCCAUCCCUCAGCUUUUAGCCAUUACUUUAGUCGCAACAAAAGGCAUGAUGGUACUUCAAAAGAAGUAAAGGACAUUUUCCAAAGCACUUACUAAUUCUGAAACAGAAGUGGGACUGCACUGAAAUAUAAUUGAUACACCAAGAAGACUGUUGGGAUUUCUGGGAGAAGCAUCUCUCUUUGGCUCACAGACAUGGUACCAGAUCACCAGCCAUUUAGAAGAGCUUGGAGCCGAACAGCACCACAGGGGAAGAUGCUGUCGCUACCCCCAGGCACACGCAGUGGCUGCAGCCCCUCCCCUCCCCACCUGCCCUCUCUCCUGGUUAUCCCCACGAUGCUGCCUCUCCUGCCGGCAGGAUCAGCUCCGGCCGUGAUGAGUCACUGCUCCGUGUGAGCAAGCCACCAGUGGUGAAGGCAGAAAUGUGGUUUCACGGGUCAUUCCUCUUCCUAUUUUCUCCAGACAUCGAGCUCUCCCCUCGCUGCCCUUCACAGUCCAAGCCGUAAUCCUUUCUGCAGAGCCUGGGAAGCUCCUCCAGCCGCUGCUCCGCGGCUCUGCGGGGCUCGCACCGAGCUGCAGCUCCGUGGCUCUCCGGGACAGGCCUGUCCUGCACACACCCGGCGUGGUGCCAGCACAGCCCCUCUCCUUGGCUGCCGCCUUCCACAGAUUUCUGCAAAGCUGAGCGGGCGGGGCUGUC
rnacentral:lncRNA from 1 species